rnacentral:rRNA from 1 species
UAGGGAAUCUUCCGCAAUGGGCGAAAGCCUGACGGAGCAACGCCGCGUGAGUGAUGAAGGUCUUCGGAUCGUAAAACUCUGUUAUUAGGGAAGAACAAAUGUGUAAGUAACUAUGCACGUCUUGACGGUACCUAAUCAGAAAGCCACGGCUAACUACGUGCCAGCAGCCGCGGUAAUACGUAGGUGGCAAGCGUUAUCCGGAAUUAUUGGGCGUAAAGCGCGCGUAGGCGGUUUUUUAAGACUGAUGUGAAAGCCCACGGCUCAACCGUGGAGGGUCAUUGGAAACUGGAAAACUUGAGUGCAGAAGAGGAAAGUGGAAUUCCAUGUGUAGCGGUGAAAUGCGAAGAGAUAUGGAGGAACACCAGUGGCGAAGGCGACUUUCUGGCCUGUAACUAACGAUGACGUGCGAAGGCGUGGGGAUCAAACAGG